AGUCACUGACAUUAGAUACCCGGGUAGUCCCAGCCGUAAACUAUGCGCGUUAGGUGUAUCGGUGACCACGAGUCACCGAGGUGCCGAAGGGAAACCGUGAAACGUGCCGCCUGGGAAGUACGGUCGCAAGGCUGAAACUUAAAGGAAUUGGCGGGGGAGCACAACAACGGGUGGAGCCUGCGGUUUAAUUGGACUCAACGCCGGACAACUCACCGGGGACGACAGCAAUAUGUAGGCCAGGCUGAAGACCUUGCCUGAAUCGCUG
rnacentral:rRNA from 1 species